CAGUAGCCGCGGUAAUACGUAGGUGGCAAGCGUUGUCCGGAAUUAUUGGGCGUAAAGGGCUCGCAGGCGGUUUCUUAAGUCUGAUGUGAAAGCCCCCGGCUCAACCGGGGAGGGUCAUUGGAAACUGGGAAACUUGAGUGCAGAAGAGGAGAGUGGAAUUCCACGUGUAGCGGUGAAAUGCGUAGAGAUGUGGAGGAACACCAGUGGCGAAGGCGACUCUCUGGUCAGUAACUGACGCUGAGGAGCGAAAGCGUGGGGAGCGAACAGGAUUAGAUACCCGAGUAGUCCCUGUCUCUUAUAC
rnacentral:rRNA from 1 species